UACGUAGGGGGCAAGCGUUGUCCGGAAUUAUUGGGCGUAAAGCGCGCGCAGGCGGUCUUUUAAGUCUGGUGUCUAAGUGCGGGGCUCAACCCCGUGAUGCACUGGAAACUGGGAGACUUGAGUGCAGAAGAGGAGAGCGGAAUUCCACGUGUAGCGGUGAAAUGCGUAGAGAUGUGGAGGAACACCGGUGGCGAAGGCGGGACUCUGGGCCGAUACUGACGCUGAGGAGCGAAAGCGUGGGGAGCAAACAGG
rnacentral:rRNA from 1 species